UAUGUUUAAGUCGGAUUAAAUAUUGUUUAAUCGGAUUUGAAAUUAGCGUUUGGGUUCAAUAGAUUGGGACAUUUGAGGAGAUGUGUGAGCCAGGAUAGAUGGAGAUGAUUUGCAUGCGAGGAAUCAUUCGACACAAACUACUCUUUGCCAAGAAAUUAGCAACUCUCGGUCGAUGAAAUGCUUUUGUUGCAGGGUAACUCCGACUCGAUUCAUUCACAUCAAAUGCUUCUAUUGUUGCCAGCUAAAGUGAUGCCCAAAUGCUGUUCUUGCUCGAUCAAAAGACAUGCUUGUCAGCAGCACAGCAUUUAGCUGGUGAUGGGUGGAUAACUUGGAAUUCGGGAGAGGGGUUCGUUUCUCUUGUCCAAGAUGUUCACUUUCAUCUGCUGAUUUAUAUUCUAAAGGAUUGGAAGGGCAUUGGUGCAUUUCUUUUUUUCUUAGUCGUAUGGAAUCUGGUGAAAUUAGGAUUCGUGUGAGUGGGUCACAACAACUGUUUGAUAAAAUGUUUAAAGAAGUGUGAUGAUUCUUAUGCCA